GCAGGCCGAGCUAGAAAAGCAAAAAAGAUGGCUUUGCUUGCGUUUGUUUGUAGGUGGCGGGGAGGAUGACACAGUUUAUCCAUCCCAAGCUUUUGAGGAGAGCCGAGGAGGUGCUGGGCAUGCUCUCCACGCCCAAGUCCACUCCGCAGUACCCCUACGACAAGAAGUUCAGUGAGGUGCCGCUCGAGGAGCGAGAGAAACUUAUGUACCAGUGGGCCAACAGCGACGACGACGAUUCCCGUCUCAACUUCAAGAUCUUCAAGACGUUCAUCCUCAACACCUUCUAUAGCAAGGUGCCGUGGUUUAGAAAGACGCUCUCUAUAUCAAGACAUUGUACCUCUUGGCUUGCAGGUGGAUGCUUCGGGCUACAACCCGACCUGGGAAGCCAUCGGCUACGCGGGACCGGAUCCAAACUCCAUGAAAGCAACGUUGCCUCCAAAGCCGUCAGCUCUCAAGUCCGCCGUCUUCGACGUCAGAGAGCACCCCGACCUGCGAGCAGUCCUCAAGCACACGGGUUACACUCUACUGGAUGACAUAUCUCACCUCAAGCCGGCGCUGCUGCCUUCCAACAAGCUUGAGGACGGAGAGGACGUGAUUGGCAUCAAAUGCGACGUGAUCAUUGUUGGAGCUGGCAGCGGAGGAAGCGUUCCAGCUCAGGUCCUGUCCACUGCCGGCCUCAAAGUUUUGCUGCUGGAGAAAGGCCGCUACUUUGCGAGAGAAGAUCUGUCCCUGCUCGAGCAACCGACUUUCAGCGAGCUCUACGAAGAAGGCGGAUUUCUGGCAACUGACGACUUUGCUUACUCGCUCAUGUCCGCUGCGGUGGUGGGAGGCGGAACUUGCAUCAACUGGGCGGCAUCCUUCCAGACUCCGCCUCACGUCCGCCAGGAAUGGGCCGAGGAGUGUGGACUUCCCAUGUUUACCAGCGAAAAGUACCAGCAAGCUCUGGAUCUCAUCUGCAAGAAGAUCGGUGUUCAGCCCAAUGCAACAGUGGAAAGCUUCCAGAAUGCAGUCCUGCGCAAGGGAUGCGUGGAGCUUGGCCUCCACAGCGCAAAUAUACCGAGAAACGCGAGCCCGGAACACUAUUGCGGCUGCUGUAACAUGGGAUGCCGACGGGGUAUGAAGCAAGCGACCACCGAGACUUGGCUGGUGGAAGCAGCGGCAGCGGGAGCGACCAUCCUCACGGGAACAAAAGGCUUGCAAGUGCUAUUCACGGACGGGACCAAGAAGGAGAAGAAAGCCAUCGGUGUGUUGGCCACCACCUUGGGUGACCAGCCAAAGAAGUUGAUCAUCGAGGCCAAAGCGACCAUCGUGUCCACCGGCUCUAUCAUGACACCACCGCUGCUCAUCAGGAGUGGACUCACGAAUCCAAACAUUGGGAAACACUUCCACAUCCAUCCGGUGCUGGGAGUGUGGGGAUACUUCCCGGACGAGGAGAAGAACCCGGGAGCUAGCUUCGAAGGAGGGAUCAUGACGGCCUUUAGCGCGGUGAGCGCACGCUGGGACACAGUCGGCUAUGGUCCGGUGCUCAUGACACCGAGCUUCCACCCCGGACAGUACGCUUCGGUGGUAACUUGGAAAUCUGGAGCUCAGCACAAGGAGGCAAUGCGGAGGUUCAGACGAGUCUCUCAGGUGGUGCUCUUCACUCGUGACAAAGGAGCUGGGAGUAUCGGAGUGGACAAGAAGACGGACGAGAUCACGAUCGAGUAUACUCUAGAUCCAUACGACGAGGAGGUUUGCCUGGAGGGAGCGGAGAAAGGACUUCGCGUGCUCAAGGCAGCGGGGGCAGUGGAAGUCGGGACGCACCACCACGACGCUGAAAGCUUCACGUUUGGCAAGUCGACAAGCUGGAAAGAAGAGAAGAAGCGGUUCGAGGAGUACCUUGCGAGCGUGAGAAGCAAAGGGCUCAAGCCCAACCGGCUGCCAAUGGUAUCGUAUCACUUGCUGGGAUCGUGCCGGAUGGGAUCCAG
rnacentral:lncRNA from 1 species